AGUGAACGCUGGCGGCAGGCCUAAUACAUGCAAGUCGAACGGCAGCACGGCAGAGCUUGCUCUGUGGGUGGCGAGUGGCGGACGGGUGAGGAAUACAUGGGAAUCUGCCCAGUCGUGGGGGAUAACGUAGGGAAACUUACGCUAAUACCGCAUGCGCCCUUCGGGGAAAGCCGGGACCGUUCGGGCCUGGCGCGAUUGGAUGAGUCCAUGUCGGAUUAGCUAGUUGGCGGGGUAAUGGCCCACCAAGGCGACGAUCCGUAGCUGGUCUGAGAGGAUGAUCAGCCACACUGGAACUGAGACACGGUCCAGACUCCUACGGGAGGCAGCAGUAGGGAAUAUUGGACAAUGGGCGCAAGCCUGAUCCAGCCAUGCCGCGUGAGUGAAGAAGGCCCUCGGGUUGUAAAGCUCUUUUGUCCGGAAAGAAAAGACGCCGGGUUAAUACCCUGGUGUCCUGACGGUACCGGAAGAAUAAGCACCGGCUAACUUCGUGCCAGCAGCCG
rnacentral:rRNA from 1 species